rnacentral:rRNA from 1 species
UACGUAGGGUGCGAGCGUUGUCCGGAAUUACUGGGCGUAAAGAGCUCGUAGGUGGUUUUGUCGCGUUUGUCCCGUGAAAAACUCACAACUCAAUUGUGGGCGUGCGGGCGAUACGGGCAGACUGGAGUACUGCAGGGGAGACUGGAAUUCCUGGUGUAGCGGUGGAAUGCGCAGAUAUCAGGAGGAACACCGGUGGCGAAGGCGGGUCUCUGGGCAGUAACUGACGCUGAGGAGCGAAAAGCAUGGGGGAGCGAACAGG